GCCUGCACGUACAAUGCCUGCAAUGGAUUUGGGAGUAUCUAAAGCCCCAGGCUGAAGAAUCUGGGAGAAAAGACACUUUCCAAUGGUAGCACCACAUAGAUUUGAACGAUUGAGCUCUGCUCAGUCAGUGGAUUUUGGAACAGAUUUGGCUAAGUUGGUCUGAGACAGGAAAUUAAAAAAAAAAAAGUGAACUUGCUGUGCCUAGCUUCCUAUAUUCAGAGAUAUGAGGAAGCAAGUUUUACAUUUAAAAUCUUUUCUUAUCCCAACUACAGAGUUGGUCCAAUAGAAGAUAUCACCCUAAGAAAUUCACACACAGAGAGGCCAGUGGGUCUCAGCCAGGGUACCAAGAGAUCCUGUCAAGGGUGAUGCAGGGUGUCACGCAGUGUUAGCACUGUGAGGGGUGCAAACACAAUUCACAAGAGAAACACAAGAGAUUUCAAAUAAAGAUCCAUGACGUUAGACACAUGCUGACCUGUUGUGGGCUUUCUGAGCUCUGUUCAAUGGAAGAAUUGCUCGGAUAUUUGUUCUGAUAUUAAAAGAAAAAUGGGUGAAAAUUAAAUGCUGGUCGGGGCAGGGGGGAUCUAUCAAGGUGGAGGCUUGAGCCUAGAAUGGUUGAGAGCCACUGCCUUACACUGUUUGGGAACAUUGGUUUCAGUGAGGGAGAUCUGGAAGAAAAGGUGAAAGGGAUGUUUCAGUUGUCUAAUGGAAGCCAAGAACGUGAAAAUAAAAUAUGAAGUCCUUCAUCCAAAGAAAAAAAUCAUUACAAAAAUUAUCACAAAUAAAGCAAUCCACGUCCCAUGCAGGACAAUCAGAUGUAUGUUCUACUCUACUUUCUCCCUUGCUCUGUAUCCUACACCCUUCUUGCAAGUGCUUCCCCAGUACACAAAAUGCUGACAAAAUUGAAGAGCAGUUAAAAAAAAAUCCUAUUGGAAAUACAAACAACACCCUCAGUUUCUGGGCAGCUCUAAAUCUCAUCCCUCAAAAACUUUCUUUUGAUUUCUUGCAGCUGCUGCAAACAAAAAAUUCGCACAUGGAUUUCUUUAAUUGCUAGAAGAGUCAUUAUAAGAAGGAACAGGCUGCAUUCUGAAGAGAGAAAUAUAUAGCAGUGAACUUUAUAUGCUUCUUUUACUCUUUAUAUGCUUCCUUUAUAUGCUUCCUUUACUCUUCCUUUACUCUUUUAAUAUGUUUCCUUUACUCUUUAGUUAAAUGCUAUUCUGUUACUUGCACAAUGGUAGAUGUUGAAAAUGGAAUGUAAAAAGGUGAGCUCAAAGCAUGCUGCUUGUGGGGCUACAGGGUGAGAAAAAGGAAGAUUUGGAGAGGUGUGUGUGCAAGCUGAAUGUUCUGCACUGGAGAGCAGAAACCAAGAAAGAAUGCAUCUCUGUAGUGGUAUUCCACAUUCAUAAGCUAAAAAUUUAAAUUAAAUUAAAAUAUGAAGAGCAAUUGAAUGAUCUGUGCUUGUUAACAGAACCAGAAAAAGGGUAUUACAUGGGAUGGGCCUCCCAUUGAUAACGGGAGAGAUUCUCCGUGAGUUCAAAUGGCAAAGGGUUUUGUUUUAGGAAGAGAAGAGCAUAGGCUGUAUCCUGUUAAUCCACUGAUCCUCCUAGCAGCCAUGCUGUGCAGAUAUUGAUCUGUAUUGAUCCCAGAUUUGUUGCAAUACUUUGGCAUGAUACAAAUGUUGGUGAUGUCUAGUAAGACAGAAACCUCAGAGGUCUUUGAGACUUAGGUAUAACCUUGUAUAAAAAAAGCUACAUUAAGAAAAAGUAAUGUCAUAGAGUCAUAGACAAUGAGGGUUGGAAGGGACCUCAGGAGGUCAUCUAAUCCAACCCCCUGCUCAACGCAGGACCAGCUCCAACUACAUCAUCCCAGCCCAGUCAAUAUCAGUGUUAACUUUGCACAUCUACCAUGUCUGCAUGUUUUAUGAUGACACAGUUUUAAUUAUAUUAUUUUACCAUUUACCUUACAUACAUGUAGUCUGGUUUGGUUCUUGCAUGCUUAUGCCAUUUUUUUCAUUGUCAUCCUGGUCCAGGAUAUCUUUAUGGCAUUAAGUAGUGGAAAUUGGAAGUCUAGAUUCAUUACGAAAUUUUGAAAAUCUCCAGCAUAGAUGCCUUAGGCUCGAUCCUGUAUCACUGAAGUUAAUGGGAGAUCUUUUGAUUUCAGUAGCAGCAGGGCAGGCUCUUGUUAUGCUCACGAUCAGUGUUGCCAGAUAUAUAAUAAUUCUCAUAUAUGUAUGGUGAAUUCAGCCACUGUACCAUGUAUGAUAGAUAAUUUAAAGUGGCUCAUGUGUAUGAUAAUUCAGGAAGACCAAAGAGUAUUUGCAUUUGAAAGAAAAAUUCAGAUUCAGUCAAUUCUCCAUCUUCAUAUAGAAUUUGGGAUAUUCUAUCUCAUGUAUACAAAUUCACUAGGAACAGGUUAUGUGUCACAUGUAGCAGCAUAGGACAGGACUCUGACAUGGAAUUUUACUGGGAGGUUGAAGUUCUAGGAGGUGACACUGACUUAGAUGAUCCACUUGCUAUUUGUGGCAUGAUGUCAUAUUAAGGAUGGAAAAGACCUUUAUAUUUGCAUAUUCUUCGAUAUUUUGCAAUAUAUAUAUAUAUAUAUAUAUUUGUAAAGUAUAUUAAUAUUGGACUUAUUAUAAUAAUAUUCCCAUUUUUUUCAAAUUUGGCAACACUGUUCAAGAGCUUUCUUCAAAUAUAUGCAGUCAAAGCCCUCAUGCAUUUACCUACAAACAUUAGCACAAAUCCCAGUAGGUGCAAGUCUAGGGGAUAAGCUAAUUAUCUAUGGAACUCUAUUAACUUCCCAUAUGUGAACAGCAUAAACUUUCUGAGGUCAGUCAGAGAUGAGGCAGUAAACUAUUAAAGUAAUUUAGAUCAGCACUUGACGACCUAUGUAUAGCAGCAUAUUUUCACCCCUGCUCUGUGCAAUCCUGUUUAAUAUGUAGGACGGUGUGUUGGCCCAUAUAGUGUGUGAUUUCUACUUAUGUUACUGACAUCAUCUCUGUGCAAUACCAAAUGUGGCACUUGAAUUUGCCACAUUUGCCGAGUCCUGUAUAAACAGAGAGCAAAAGAAAAAGUUUCCUGAUCCAAAGAGCUAACAAUCUGCAUAACAUUAUCCCUAUCAUUUCCUGAUUCUUGAAUGCUUCGCAGUGCAACCUUAAGACUGCCAUGUUUUGAUGGAAUGUCCAAGGGUCGUACAAAAUAACAUUAAAAAAAACCAGCAUUCUGACCUUGCAGGUAUCUAGUGAAUUGUACCUCUUUCUUGUACCUCUAAUCCGCUAAACCAUUUAUGUACAAACUUUAUUAGAAAAAAAACCUUUUGGACAGAAAAUAAUUCAUCCCCAAGGAUAACUAUUUAAAAAAUGUAUGAAGAGCUGAAAACAGGGAUUGGAAUAGAGACCAUUAUACAACCUUCAUUAUGGAAGUUUCCUCCAUUCCUCCUACAAUAUCUACCCAGGAGAAGGUUUCCUAUGGGAGCUGGUUUAACCCACCAUGUCCUCUUUUUAAUGAAUGCCUAGGCUUGAUUUGGUCAGAUAAUGCUUUCAUUUUUCUUUUCUCCUAAACUUGGUUUAUUCAGUUCCACCAUCCUCUUACCCAUGUAAAUCCCAUGAGUUUUUGUUCGCCUUUCACAUUGUGUUUGAUACCUAGACUUUGGGGCAGGGACCAUAAUUUUUAUUCUGUCAGAAUGAUCUGAGUUCAGUGUCAUCCUGAUCCUUGACUGGGUUUCCUAGUGGCUACCAAUGAUAGCAAUAACUCAAAUAGAAUCAUCAUCAUCAUCAUCUACUUAGCAAGAGAUUAUUUUGACUUCUCUUUACUUUGUCCAAAGGCUUAUGCACUGUAUCUUCCCCACCCCUUAUUUAAUGUAAAGUCUCUGCUUUUAUUUCUGAUGCUGUUCAAAACCAUGUUUCAAGACUUCAUUGACUGGAUGCUAGGAUAGAAAAUGACUCCUGGUUUCAGGCUCUUGUCUGUGUCCUGGUAUUACAGUCACUCCUCUCUGUGUUUGUGGUAAGUUUUAUGAUGUUUCUCUUUCUGCUUGUGCAUUAUAUUCCCUAAAAUAGGCAGAGAGAAAGAGAGAGGUAAAGAAAUACACAAAGUUUACCGGUUAGGGUGGGCUGCAAAAUGUUGCCAGGAUAUGCACCUCCUCUUUAAAAUGCCACUUAUGUGGAAGAAUUAAAGGAAUGUGGCAGUAGGGAUGAACAAGACAGUUAAAACAGCCAUUGACCCUGGUCUCUCAAAACAUGUAUCUACCCAAGGCAAAUACUUGGCCAUGUUUUAGCAUUAACAGCAGACUUGCCACCGCUUUCUGGGGCCACCAGUUGGGGAGGGAAGCUCAACUGCUUUCACUGCCUCUGAUCUUAUUCUCUACAUAGGACUGACUAGACUUUAUUUUGGCUUCCGAGACACUUUCAAGGCAGACUGACCUCUUUACCAGACACUAGCUAGUAGUAACCUUUUUAAACAUAUGAAUACCCCUUGCUAACAUAGAAGUAGAUGAUGCAAAAUAUUUUCUCUGCUCUCUUCUCAGUCCCUUAGGAUAUGGGUCAAGAGUUGAAGUCAGAUAGCACAGCAUGAGUUCACCCAAGGGGCUUUUUCACUGCUAAGGUCUCACUGCAGCUCACUGACAGACCAAAAAAUCUACCAUUUUUUACAGAAUGCUUCCUUCAAACACAAGAUGCCAUAGGAAAAAUUCUGCUCUCGCUUACGUUGAUCUUACUUGGAGUAAUUCCCCUGACAUGAACUUAUUGGGAUAUCAAAGUCAAUGGGAUUCUCUUCAACUCACACCUGUGUAAAAAUUAGAGUAAAAUCAUUCCUGACUCCUGCUUCCCUUGCUCACACAAAUCUUCCACUGGUGAUGAGAAUGGGGAUCAGGAUUUGGAUCUGUAGCUGGAGGGACAUCUUCCUUCAGAGGGUCUCACAAGAACCAGUAAGAACCUAUUGGGCCCAUGUUACAUAAUGUGAGCAGGUAGAAUUUGAGCACUGAAUAAAGCAGAUCUUUGUCAGACUCCUCACCUCGGCAUGACUGCACACUGACUGUCUGGUUGAUGGGUAGUGCUGGUGGCCUACUGUUCAGCUCUGAUCGGGAGGGAACAUCUGGCGCUGGGUGCAGCACAUCAGGAAGCUGCUUUGAUUCAGAAGAUGGAAGCAAAGCAAAAAAGAAGAAAGAGGUUUGCUGUAAACUUGGACUCCAACUCAGAUGACGCAUAAAUCUGUGAAACUUGUAACAAGCUGUGUCACUCUUGAAUUGGGCUUGUCAGCCAUAAGUGGAUUCAUUAGGCACCUGACUACACCUCUUCUGCAUACACCAUGAUCCAGAGGAUCAACGGUUGCCAGACUGCUCAGCUCCUCCAUCCUCCACGGGACAUAGAGACUGGUAUCAUGUGUCAGCUCACAGGCUACAUCUCUGUCUGUGAGUAACAAACCCACAUGCAAAUUCUCUGGAGGAGACCCAUGGGCACAUGAUGAGCUGUGCUCUGAGAAACUCAGUACUAAAAUUUCAGGGCCAGGGAAGAGGAUAAAAGUGAUGAUUUAUCUACAGCUAAGGCUGGAGAGAUUUUCUGCUUCAGCAUGGUAAGGCUGCUCACGGAGACGUUCUUCCCUGACCACUCGAGGUGGUUGUACCCGGCCAGAACCGAAGGCCUGGAAUGAAGUACAGAGCAUCUCUAGGGUGUAUGUGCUACCCUGAUAGGUGCUUUGGAAAUAUUGACAGAGACAGGCAAGUCACACCCACAACACAUGAGGGUGAGAAAGCCAGCUGAGUGGCUUCUCCACUGCUCUGCUUGCCAAAGCAACAGAACAGCAGCAUUUCAACACCUUCUGGCCUUAACGCUCCUGCAUAAAAUGGCUGAAGAUUGAGCCCUGUGCUUCCAAACAAACAGGAACAAGUUCCCAAGAAACGGGGGAGAGAAGAAAUACUGUUUUUCAUACCCCGUGCCCCUCUCUCUUGUUUAGAAAAAGUGUUAUUCAGUUAUAUGGACUAUUUAAAGGGCUGUGGCUAAAUGGGAGUGACUAUAAAAUCCAUGUUCUAAUAACAAUAAUAAUUGUAAAGGGUACAACAACAUUUAUAACCCUUGUUACAGGCCUGAGCUAUCAUAUCCAUAGCAACUGCAGCAAGUGGUACAUGCAAUAUAUUUAGCAAUCCCCUACACCUGCCUAAAAUAGACACCAAUAAAUUAUGUCAAUGUUUGUACCUUUUGGCAGCAUUUGAAGGGGCCAGAGAUGCAUGGUACAUUUGCGCUUGGCUUGUGCAGAGCUGUGCAACAAGAAUGUUGCUUUUGUACCAAGCAUCUGUCUCCUUCUGUUUACCUUCCCUUUCAUGUUUUUUAAUGUGACAAACUUGUCAAAAGAGGAAACUCAAAGGUGAAUCGUGUACUUGGGGAAGCAAGGUGAGUGAUAGGUAGAAGGGAACAGAUGCAGUUUGCUUAUGGCAUCUGUCAUCUUCUUUGCUUCCGCACUGCGGCUGUCAAAGUGUGGCUAACAUGAAUGUAUUGAAUUAAUAAACUUUUGCAAGUGAUUAGGGCUGUAUACAUCUCCCUGUUGAAGGCAAGGGCAACACGGUCACACUUGAUAUUAAGGAUAUGUAUACAUAUAUACAGUUUAUAAAGAGUUAAUCAAUGACUGAGAGGUGUUUUAAUACACGGUUAAUCAAUUGUUGUAGAUUGUCAGAGUCCAACAGGUCAAUUGUGUGCUUACAACCAUGGCAUAUAACCAUCAAGGAGACCAUCUGUUGAUGUACUUAUUACAGUCUUUAACAUGCAUUACUCAUGUCUGCAACAUGUUUAUAACAGCUAUUAACCUUAUAGUAUUAACCCUUUAGAAUAUUUGUUAAAAUUAACCUUCAUAUAAACUGUGCCUAGAAAGAUUUCCAUCAACUUCCAUGAGAAAGGGGUCAGAUCUUUGCCCUGCGUAAUGGACAAAAGAGUUCUGUCCCUAUUAUUUUAUGAUAGAUGCAUUUAGCUCUUAGUGUUUUAAUCCUGUAAACCUUAAGUACGCAGCAAUUUUAUUGAUCACAGGCUUCACAUUUGACCAUUCCAGUCAAUGUGAUAAAGCUACAGAGCAAUCGUGUCUAAGUUCUGUAACAACAACAGUAACAAGCACGCUAACAAGAGCUUGCUAUAUUUGAUGUUUUUAUAGGAACUUCCACCCAAAGGUUUUUUCAUGGUGUUUAUGAACAAUUAAGCCUCAUGCCUCUUCCGUGAGGAACAUUGUCCUACCAAGACACCAAGGUGCAGAAUAACACAAGAUCACUCAACAAGAAAGUAGUAACAUUGAGAAUAAAAUCUAUUUUUUAUUUUC